UACGUAGGGGGCGAGCGUUAUCCGGAUUUACUGGGUGUAAAGGGAGCGUAGACGGCAGAGCAAGUCUGAAGUGAAAGCCCGCGGCCCAACUGCGGGACUGCUUUGGAAACUGCCCGGCUAGAGUGCUGGAGAGGUAAGCGGAAUUCCUAGUGUAGCGGUGAAAUGCGUAGAUAUUAGGAGGAACACCAGUGGCGAAGGCGGCUUACUGGACAGUAACUGACGUUGAGGCUCGAAAGCGUGGGGAGCAAACAGG
rnacentral:rRNA from 1 species